rnacentral:rRNA from 1 species
GUAGUCUGCAACCCGACUACAUGAAGCUGGAAUCGCUAGUAAUCGCAGGUCAGCAUACUGCGGUGAAUACGUUCCCGGGUCUUGUACACACCGCCCGUCACACCAUGGGAGCCGGAAAUGCCCGAAGCCAGUGACCCAACCUUAGGGAGGGAGCUGUCGAAGGUGGAGCCGGUAACUGGGGUGAAGUCGUAACAAGGUAAC